ensembl:lncRNA
CAGACAAAGAGGAAAGACCCGAGCCAACGCGUCAAUAGCUCACUGCCUACAAUGGUAGUUAAAGCGAGGAAACACUCAUCCAAUCCGCUUGGCCCUUUCUCGCCGGAGCAUUUUUCACACAUUCCGGGUUAGUCAAACACGUUUGAGCAUCAUCCUGGCAGCUGAGCUUGAGGCAACGACAAUCCACGAACCCGCAGUGCAGGAAAAUGGCUUGAUGAAUAGAUCGAGGCUGAAAGGGAGGUGAGAAGGUACAGGAAGAAGUUGUUGUUCCAUAACGCCACAGAGACGGGAGGAUUUUGAUGAAAAAAUGAGGAAAAGGAGGCGAUGGAACAGGAGACCGGGCGGCAGAAAGGAUUCAGAAGGAUUGUUGAUGGAAG